AGGAAGCAAACAGCCAAAUCCAGAACUUGGGAAUUCUACAGGACAACUGAUCCAGUUUAUUCAACAAGUUAAUGGUAAAAAAAGAAAAAGAAAGAGGUGUGUGGGUGGCAGUGGGGUACUUUAGAGUAAAAGAGACUUAAAACAUAACUAUUAAUGUUAUGUAACUUUGGACUCCAAGUUAAAUAAAUCAACUGUAAAAUAUAUAAGACAGUCUGGAAAUUUGAACAUAGAUUAUCAGACGUUACCAAUUAAUUAUGUUAAUUUUGUUAGCUAUAACAAAGGCAUCGUGGUUAUGUAAGAAACCAUUCCUUUUAGGAGAUGUACAUCAAAAUAUGUGAGGGGAAAUGACAAUAUCUGGAAUAAUCUUUAAAAGAAUUCAGAAAAAAAGGAAUAAUGAAGCAGGGAUAGCAAAAUCUUAGCUGUUGAAUCUAAGUGACACAUACAAAGAUGUUCACUAUACUAUUAUUAUUCUCUACUCUUUGGUAUGUUUGAAAUUGUUUAUCAAAAACUACAUAUUUAAAGAUUUAAACUGUUAACAAAAAUGUAGGCCACAGAUGAGAUAUACCCGAAGGCCAAACACCCAUCACCAGAUAAGCAAAACUUAAGUCAUCCUGAUUUCCUCCAAAAUUCUCUCUCUAAUCAUAAACACAGAACAUAAGCUUUAUGUCCUUGUCAGCAUGCUUCAGUGAAAUGAAACCAAUCGACUAUAGAAAAUCAGCUUAAACAGCUGUUUGCCUUUAAAAGAACAAUUUAUAACAGCCAAUCACAAAAAAGGUCAAAAUACUUCCUCCUCUGUGCUUUAUAAACUGUGCUGUAACUGCUUUAAGGUGAGCUGCUUACCACUUGGUUUGAAGUAUCCUGGAUUGCAAUCUGUACAAAUUCAAAUUUCCCCUAACUUAAUCUGAUUUUAUUUUUCACAAAACAAAAGGAAAAUGCUUUCCCUUGACUCUUUCUCUUCCCAUGGGAAUGUGGGUGUGGUGGUGGUCCAACUUCAACCAUACAGAUUUUUAAAAUACCAUAGGACAGAGGUCAGCAAACUUUUUCUAUAAAGUGCCAGACAGUAAAUAUAUUAGGCUUUGCAGGACUUAAAGCCUCUGUCCCAGCUACUUGGCUCUGCCACUGACUCAUAAAAGGAUCCAUAGACAAUACAUAAACAAAUGGGCUGGCUGUGUUCCAAUAAAACUUUAUAUACAACAGGUAGUGGACCAGAUUUGGCCCACAGAUAGUAGUUUGCCAAUCCUUGUCCUAGGAUAUAAUGGCAGUGCAACAAAAUCAAAGGAACCUGGAUCCUGGAUGAUGGCAUGGAGUAGGGCCACCCCACCAGCAUGAAUCACUCUCCUCCGGACUGUUACAUGAGGAAGAAAUAAACUUGUAUACUGUCUGAGGCCUUUUACUUUUUAGUUUCUUUGUUAUAGCAGCUUACCCUAUACCCUGAUACAGUGAAAGUCAAAGUCUUAAGAAUGAAAAUGGUCAACCGAGGAAAAUGGCGUUGGCCAUGUUGGUGCUAGUGGUUCCGCCAUGGCCGGCAGCCCGGGGUCUCUUCCGAAACUGUUGGGAGCAACUACAGCGGAAGCUUCAGCAGAGCCAGCCAGGAUUUCCCAGUCCUCCGUGGGGAUCAGCAUUAGCAGUCCAGGGUCCAGUCUUAUUUACAGAGCCAGCAAAUGAUGCAAGUGGAAGUAAGGAAACUUCCAGCCUUUCGGAUAGUAUCUUUUGGAUGGCAGCUCCCAAAAACAGACGCACCAUUGAAGUUAACCGUUGUAGGAGAAGACACCCUUGGAAACUUAUUAAAGUUAAGAACAAUAUAGACACGUGUCCUGAAUGUGGUCACCUGAAACUCAAACACAUCCUUUGUGGCUAUUGCUAUGAGAAGGUGCGCAAGGAGACAGCAGAAAUCCGACAACAGAUAAAGAAACAAGAAGGGGGCCCUUUUAAGGCUCCCACCAUAGAGACUGUGGUGCUGUACACGGGAGAGACGCCAUCUGAACAAGAUCAAGGCAAGAGGAUCAUUGAACGAGCCAGGAAGCGAUCAUCCUGGUUCACCCAGAAUUGACACCAAAGAUGUUAAAAGAGGCUAACUUUACAGUAAAACAUUUUUCCUAAAAGAGAG